rnacentral:lncRNA from 1 species
GCAAAAAUGGUCUUAGGUCACUCCACAUUCUCACUCCAACCCACACUAAAUUUAGGGCUUUCAAUUUCACCUCAAUAUACUUUUUUUAAUUCCUAAAUUGCCCCUCCCCCUACACCAACCCAAACGCCACCUUCUACAAAACCGGUCGCCCGUUGUGAAUCCAUCACCCACCUUCCCUACCUUAUCCAUUGCUAACUUUCCCCAUCCCAUCCUCUACUACAUACACUUCUGCCGAGAUUUGAGUAACAUCCAUCAUUCCCUCCCACCAAUCAUAAUAGACGAUGAUGAAAUCAGAUGUCCACUCUUUCUAUGAAAUAGGGCAAAAUCUAAAAUCUUCGCUAGUUUUUUCUCUGUCUUUGUCUAUCAUUCUCCUCUUGUCAAAGAGUGUGG